CGGAUCCUCGUACUGUCGGCAUAUAGUAGUCCAAUUAUCUAUGGUGAUGCUGGCAUAGGACUGUUGCCGCACUGCCUCCUCUCCAUGAUCCUACACCACCCGAUACUAAUGCUGAUGCAUGUGAUGGCGAUAGUCCUUAAAAUGCAGCGAUAACUGAAUGUCGAUGGCUCGCCUUACAUGAUCCUCCUCAAAAUUAGCGAUAUCAAAUACAUCUUGCCAAUAACAAAUAUUAGAAGAAUACUAUGCAAAUUAAAUAUUCAUAAUAUAACUUAUUUUAUCUGAAAAUGGGUGUAAAAAAUCUCUCUCUG
rnacentral:lncRNA from 1 species